CCUACGGGUGGCAGCAGUGGGGAAUAUUGGGCAAUGGGCGCAAGCCUGACCCAGCAACGCCGCGUGAAGGAAGAAGGCUUUCGGGUUGUAAACUUCUUUUCUCAGGGACGAAGCAAGUGACGGUACCUGAGGAAUAAGCCACGGCUAACUACGGGACAGCAGCCGCGGUAAUACGUAGGUGGCAAGCGUGAUCCGGAUUUACUGGGGGUAAAGGGCGUGUAGGCGGUACUGCAAGUCAGAUGGGAAAACCACGGGCUCAACCUGUGGCCUGCAUUUGAAACUGUAGUUCUUGAGUACUGGAGAGGCAGACGGAAGUCCUAGUGUAGCGGUGAAAUGCGUAGAUAUUAGGAGGAACACCAGUGGCGAAGGCGGUCUGCUGGACAGCAACUGACGCUGAGGCGCGAAAGCGUGGGGAGCAAACAGGAUUAGAUACCCGUGUAGUC
rnacentral:rRNA from 1 species